UUGCAACCGUCUUUCACCUAUUCAGUCCGUUUUUUCAGUUUUCUUUGCUUGCUUCGAGCCAUUUUCAUUAGCGCGAGGCUGUCUGCGAGCACAACAGGGACGGUUGUAAUCAGCAGCCAUAGACUGUGAAGUGGGAGAACCUAAACGUGACGUCAAUGCCUAGUAACUGACGCAGCCCUCAAAAAGAGAGAUUCUGCAAGCUUUAAUUAUCGUUUGUGUGCUGCUCUAAAGACAAAACAUAUUCCGAUUAGGGUUGUUUGUGCGCGAGUCCGUGGAUGUGUCUCUCUGUGUGUGUGUGUGUGUGUGAGUGAGUGCGUGCGUACGUGUUUUCGUCUUUAUGAGCAGCGAGUUUCCAACCGAAAGUUGCAUGGAGACACACCGCGUAUAAUAAAGAGGACGGUGAGCGACAUAAAGGGACGAGGAGAGCGGGGACAACUUGUGCUGAGAAAAAGAAAUAUUUAGCCCGUGUGAGAGAGGGGCACUGAAGCAGUUCGUUUGAAAGCACAAAAAACACUGCAGCGAUGCAUCGGAGGCGAGUCGGAACCUUUGCAUGGAGUUGGAAAGGCAAAAUUAAUGUACAUUACAUGCACUCCACGUAACGCUACUGAGCGAUGUCUUUCCAGGGCUUGCUGCACUGCAGGGCGAAACUUCAAUGGAUCAAGUACAGGAGCUGAAAAAUGAACGGCUCGAGUCACCGAACGAUCCCUGAGUGAAGGGUGACGUCACUGUCUUCAAAAUCUGCUGCUGACUUAACGUCAAAGCAAAAAGCAGGAUGUGAAUCUGAACUGACUGCACUCCUCAAGGAAAGAGAAAGACGGCUGAGCGGAAUGCAAGCUGACGGAGAAAAAAGCGGGAGUUGACCGACAAACGAGCAUGGCAAAGGCCUCAGCCGUGAGGAUACAGUGAGGAGAAUAUAUGGUUGGUCAUCUGAAGCAGAAGCUUCACAUGUGAGAGGAGAAAAUAAUAAGGAUGAAAAAUCUGGGAAAUAUUUACCUGGGAUCCUGCGCACAAGCUCAACGUCUGUUGGACAGCUUUUUUCCCACCUGUAAAUGGAUAUUCAGCAAGUUGAUUUACUUUAUAGGAGCAAGAUAACACUGUCAGGUAUUUGCAAUAUUUGUCUGUACUUGGUGAGCUUUUUAAUAAAUCAACUGGAUUUGUAUUUAUGCCACAUAUGCAGACGUCUGUAACGUGUAAGCUUUGAACUGCAUGAGACAUCAGAUAAUAUGAAAAUGAUAACGUAUUAACAGCUAAGACUAAGAAAAAAAAUAUAAUAAUAAUAAUAUAUAGAUAUAUAUUAAAUUAAGGCUAAUUAUAGAUAUAGAUAAAAAUCACAGAUGAAAAUAUUAAUAAGUAAAUGUGCAGACGAGACGCACGUGAGCACUUUGUGUUGAGUUUUGUUGUUAUAAUAACCUGCAGAAGUUAAUAUUAUAUGUAAUAUUAUUUGUUCUUAUUAAAUAAUGACUUAUAUGUAGAUUGAAAUGCAUUUGUUGUGACUUAAGAAAUAAGAACGUGUGCGUAAAACGAGCGCAGAGACGUCUGCGUGGCUGCGUCUGUAGAAGUGUAUGUAGAAAUGUAUGAACAUUACAGGCGCCAGCUUUUUAGGCUUGUGCUUUUUAUAAUUGUGAAGGCUGCAUGUUUAUGGCGUCCUAAGAGUUUGUUUAACGUGUUGAUUUAAGCUUCAGAAGUUUGAACGGAGGAUUUGUGCUGUCAUGCGUUCGCUGUCCACUGCACGUGGUGCUGAAACGCGCUGCUCCUGACGUACCACACGUGGCCUAAAUGAACUUAGGCGUAAAUAUAAUGCUUUUAAAACUUGUUCUUUCGCUAGAUAUGUUUAUUAUAUUGUGUAUAUGUGAUAUACUGCAUCAAUAGUUUUAGGACGCAUUUGGAGUGUUUUAAUAAAUGUGAAACAUUAGUGAUAAGAGGUCAAAAGGGUGCAGGGGAAAGAAAAGGGAGCAUAUUUGAAAUUAAACAACGAUUAUUAAAGAUUGAGUUUGUGUUAGGAUUUCUGAUGUAGAUCAAUGAGCGUUGAAGACUGAAAGCUGGAAUGUGUAAUGUGUUACUUAAAAGAGUGAGACGAUACGUGUGUAUGUGUGAGUGUGUGAGGGAGAGAGAGAAGGGGGACUGUCGACAAGAAUGUUUUGAGAUUUGCUACAAAAAAGAUGAAUGUAGUAAAUAAUCUAAAUUUUGCAUUAUUUUAUUACCAGAUUAUUUUAUUAUAGUAGCUACCACAAUAAAAACCAACCCAGUGCACUGUGAAGCUGAAUAUGUGUUGUUGUUAUAUAUAAUUAUACGAUUUAUCUGCUUAUCUGUUUUUAGAUAAUAAAGCUCUAAAUGUGUUUGAAGAUUUGAGCUGAAUUAAGUAACAUGAGUUGCAUGUGGUUGCUGCAGUGUGGACAAUGUACGAACGUAACGUGUGGGUUCUGUACUUCUGUGUAUUUGUAUGAUUUUUUUUAUAGUGGGCUUUAUUAUACUAACAUGCGACCUUGACAAAAUAUUUAGCUGUUUUAUUGUGUAACUUAAGCUGUGUGAAUAAUGUACAGAUGAUUAAAUAGGGUGUUAUUAAAGUGCCUGCACGUUGCAAAAUCCUUCCAUGAGGUUUGUUGUACUCAUCACAUUUAUGUUAUGUGAAAUAUGUUCUCCUCAAACUGCUUGUUUUUAUAUGCUCUGUCAU